GACACUUUGGCCGAGUGGUUAAGGCGACGCCCUGCUAAUCAGCCGGAGCUUGUUGAAAGGCGUUGUCCAUUGGACGCGCAGGUUCGAAUCCUGCAGGUGUCG
rnacentral:tRNA from 1 species